rnacentral:lncRNA from 1 species
AAACAAUUUACAUCAACAGAUCAAUCUUAAUUGUGUAAUUAUUGUAACUUCUUUUGCAGAUUGAUUUACAACUGGCACAUAUAAGUUGACAGUUAAUGCAUAAAGAGUGUAGUUUCUAUGAUAUGAGGUCUACACAAUUAAAUGUAAGUAUUAAUUGUAUUAUAAUGAAUGAUUCCCUUCAGUUCUAUAUUUUAUAUACCAUUUUCUAUAAUCUUUAUCUGUUUUGCUCAUUAUUCUCUAUUCUUUGUAUUUUAACACACCAUCAUUCUCUUUUAUUAUCAGUCUUUUCUUAAUCUUUAAUGUCUCAGCCUUUAAAUUUUGCACUUUUGCCCAUAGGGAUUAUAACAUGAUUGGUGUAUCUAUUCUGUAAACACCAUCCAGACCCUCAGUUUAUGUGAAUAUAUAUAAGUUAUCUGGUGUAUUUAGUCACACUAACCCAAUCUUGAUUAAGUCAUAUUGAUUAUUAAUAACAAAUUUGCAAAGCAAUGUGAUGGGUAAAUAUCAGUUAAAGUAAGUUGUACUUACAAACUUUAUUGUACUUUUACAGACAAUUCAUCAAUUAAACUUUGUGUCAAGUUUUCUUUUAAUUCAAUAAUAAUUAAGGAAUACACAAAUGUGACAAUUUUGACUGAAGUUUUCUAUUUGUAUCAUAAUAUGAAUACCAAUUACUUUUAAAUGCCAUUAAUGGUUUACAUAUUUUUUUCAGUACAUGCAUGAAGAUGACUUGGAGGCAAUGGUGUCAUACAUGUUAGUUUUAACUAUAAUAGCCUAACUGAAAUUUGAAAAAAGUUAUCAGAGGAAAAGAGUGACCACUUCUUUCUUAUGAAGAUCAACACACACAAGGAAAUUAUCAGACAAUUUGUAACCAGAUAUGGGGGCAGUUUUAGAUAUAUAUGCAUGAAAAGAAAGUGAAAUCAAUGUUUUUUUAGAUAAAAGCUUGAUGAUAUAACACAAAUAUAACAGUGCUGAAUAUGAAAACCCCAUGCCAUGUCACAUGUAACUUUUGGAAUGCAGAGAUUUUCAGUAUUACAAUAAAAGGAAGGAUUUCAUUACUGUUAAAACUGACUCUGGAACAUUCAAGACAAAGAAAUAAAGAAAUAAAAACAUAAGAGGAAAUGACUGUGCACUUCUUUUUUGAAGGAUCAACACACAAAAGGAAAUUUUCAUAUCAUUAUGCAUCAUGUGCAGUAGUUGAGAUAAUUUUGGAUAUAUACAUAAAACUGUGAACUAAGUGAUAAUUAUAAUUCAAACAUCAUAUGUGGUACCUGCAUGUACUUACUGGUAUAUAUAUUGUAAUUCACAACAUUUUA